AAAAGGAGUGUGCAUCAAAAUGCAAUAAAAACUGAUUUUUUUUCCUCCCAUCUGAAAAGGCUGUACGAUGUGCUGGAAGUCUGCAUUGCCUAAUACUUGCACCAUUCCUCUUUUACUUCCUGUCUCCAGAGUUAUAAUUCAGGGAGCUACUGUGAGGACUAAAUUUACUUAAUUUAUAAAAAAAGAAAAAAAGUCUUGCCGAGGAGGAACCCAAAGGAGAAUAUGGUCUGAUCCUAAAUGGUGUUGUUAAAUCAGUCUGAGCAUUAUUUACUGUAUUUUAUUUUCUUCACUGUUAUAAAACCACUGCACCCUUCUGUUUGUUAAGUAGUAGGGGUGGUAUUUUCAAGGUUAGCACAGGAGUAAUCACUCAAUGGUGGUAUGAAUAUUCAUAUCAAGACACAUUAUGAGAAAGUAGACAGACGGAAAUGUGCAGUUUAAAUAUAGACUACAGCAGGAAAUGGGACAUGAAACAGUGAUUAGAUAGUGAAAAUUACAUGGUAUUUACACAGGUAAAUACACUGCGGGGCAACGCAUAUGAUCUUUUCUAUUAGCAUUUGUUUGUUUGUGAUUCAACCCUGAUUUAAAAAGAGGAUGGUUUCUUAAAGAUAAAAAUAGGAAAAGAGGAACACUUUGUUAGUGCUAGAAAAUCUGCAUUGUCUGCAGGAUCACUGAUUUGGGUUGUAAACCAGGUUUCACGGCUAAUCUGGAUCAGAAUGGGCUGGUACUGCAGAAAGCAGUGGUGUCGAUUCCCCAGCAGACAGACUUUCUCCCCAGCACUGCUUGUGCAGGUCACUCCGAUCUGGACUGCUGGAAGCCUGCGAGUGUCAGCAAUGAAUGCCCGAGCUCCUCUUGCCCAGACUCUGUGGAGGUUGUGGUACAUCCUUUAAUUUCUUGUGGGAAGAGCAACCAAAGGGUGCAAACGCCUUGUUUUCCCUUGUUAGGGGAAUAUGCAGAGCUAAAGUUUCCUGCUCUUGCUUUGAAAAACAGAAAUGUGUCUCUAGCCUAGUUAGACCAGUAUGAGGAUGCAUCAUGAGUCUCCAUGACCAUAAUAUCAAAGGCUGUGCUACCCGUUUUUAAUUCUGCUCUGAACCACCAAGUCUUGCUGUGAUUCCCUUCCUCACUGUCACUUUACUUGUGCCCUUCUCCUUUAGCUCAGAAGAAUGGGAGAGAAAAGGGUUGGCUAAUGCACCUCUUUUCCUCCCUUCAGCCAGUGGUGUCCUCCACUUUCCCCAACCCGCUGCUAUGAACGCAGAGUUAGCUGGUAGUCUGGGAUUCCCAGAGAAAGUGGAAAGCAGGAAAUUAAUGAAGGCAAGAGGGACGGAAACAGAUGCCCCCCACCCAAAGGCUUACGAAUUCCUUCAUCUUCAUUUUCUGGGUCACUUUUGGCUGAGCACCUUUUACUGUGCUUGAGGAGUCUGCAAGCAGGAGAAACAUAACUUAGGAAUACAUAACUUAUUUAUUGGUUAAUACAUGCAGUGGAUCGCCAUGCUGCAGGGCUGCGUGAAUAUCUGCAUGACUCCAGAGGAGUCUCUGCUGAACAAGCCAUCGUCUGACAGGGGAGGAAGGGUUGGCCUCCUGCUCUCUGGGACAGGCUGAUCCUCAAUGUUGCUGAUUUGCUGGCUUCCGAUUAUUUGCCUUUUCCCUAGAAUUUUAUAUCUUUUCAUGUCAGCAUUUUUCUUGUAAAUCUCCCUGGGCUUUGUCUAACCUCAUCUCGACAAAGACACUUGAGCCUAUGGUUUUGCUUUUUUUACCCUGCAUGGUGUUAGCUCGUGGACUUUGUCACACCUUAACAAUUUUUUUUUGUAAAACUGAGCCAACGUCACGCAAUUGUGCUCUGUGAAAUCAGGCAGGGCUUGUAAAUAGCUGAAACCCUCAGCUGAGGAUUACAAAGUCGUUACAUCCUACAACCCUAUUCACAUUAGCUGAUUCAAUGGCAUAAAGCAUUGCAACAUAAAACUCACAGAAAAAAUUGCUAGACAAGUAAACGACACUGCAAUACAGUAUUUCCAGGAAAUUUCUGUGCAUGUAAGCUUCUGAACUGGCAUUUAUCAAAUGCCCAGGAUCAUGUGAGAAGGCAUCGUGCUGCUGGAGCCACUGCGCUUCAUAAGAGAGAGAAAACUAAGACUUUUGAUAGCAACUUGGUGGUUUCCCAAAGGGUAAGUCUCUCAAACAAUCACUCUACCUAUUUUUAAAGUUCAUCUGACGUUGCAAAAUAUGGGUUAAUCUCUGUUCUUUUUAAAAUCCAAUUAAGAUUUCAGUUUAGAAGUCAGGAUAAUGUGACUUCUGUUUCUUUUGGUUCCCAUUUCCUUUUCAUCAGCAGAGAGGUGCUUGUGGAUAUAAGGGAAAAGUCAAAGAUCUCUUCCCAUCUUUUAUGCAUGCUUUCAUGUGCAAAGUGUGUGUGAGUGUGUGUGUGUGUAUCUGUCCUCUGUGGAAUAGUUGUGUACUGCUAAGGAUUUGCCACUUCUCCUUGUGGAGGUGGCAGCAUAUUGGUCCUUAUCCUUUACAGAAAGUUUAUUACUUUUUGUGAAGUACCUUGAGACUUUGUGGAAUGAAAGAAUGCAUUGAGAUAAAGAUUAUUUAUUAUUCAUCACUCCAAAUACAUUUGUUCAUACAUUUUAAAGCUGGGAACACUGUGUGAUAAGAGACAGCUGCAUAGCUAAGACACUUACAGCAAGCAUGCAAAUUAUUUUCCAGAUCUGAAAAAAGGUGGUGAGCCCAAGCGCGUCUUUUUGUAACCGUGUCAGAUGGACUAAUAAAAGCUAUUACAUUCCCCAUAAAACAUAAUACAGUGAGACCCCCCCCAAAAUGAACUAAAUCUGUUGAUACUGAUCACACUGCAUAUAUAACACAAGCACACAGAAACGGCAGUAAAAAUGUCACAGAAAUCAGCUAGUCUCUGAUUUGAAUCUUUUAUAGGAGGAAGACGCCCUUUGAAAAGAGCAGUGUUUAUACUGCAAACAGAGCCACCAUAAGUAUCUGUUAUCCCUACGUGCCCAGCUUCUCAGCCGAAUAUCACUUAAGGCAGCAAGAGGCAAUUCAGCAGAAGAAAUGAAAGCAAGACUAGUCUUCUUGCAGAAACUAGACAUUUUGUAAAAACAAAUGGAGCAGAGAGAAGACUGGAUGUCCGUGACUGAAACAACCGUGACAAGACAAUCUCUCAGUAUGUCAGAUGGAUAAAAUAGCAACAGGCUUCUCUGUGGAAAUCUGAUUGAAACACACUCAUAUGAGGUGUCUGGGUUUUUCUCAGAGAAUGGAAAUUAAGAUUGCAGUAACUUUUCUACACCUGUUCGAAUACAUUCCAGUCCUCCAUUUUUUUCCCAGUAAGGACACAGAGAGGCUUGGACAUGUCCUGUAGCUUUUGGAUCCAGUUCUGAAUUGCUGAAGAUUUCACAUGAAGCAAUUUUUCUGGGGAUAAUGCCUCUAACUUGGGCUGAAAUUGUAUCAGCGCCUGUGGCAUUUCAGAACCAGAGAAGGCCAAAGUGCCACACAGCAAGCUACAUUUACUGCAGUCACCAGACAGCAGAACAAAAACAUUUUAUUCCACCCUAUUGUUUGGCAGUAAAUAGGAGCCUCUGGGGAAGGGAAAAGGACUCCAAAAGGUUUCCAGGCUUCUGACCUACUGCUGGAAGAUCGGAUCUGCUAUUUCAACAUGUAUCUACUCUGAUGUCUCCAUUGUCCAUUCUUCAACCACUCUUCAACUGCUGCACACCUCUCCCAAGCCCCAGCAUGUUUCCCCAGUACUGAGACUGGAGAGGUAGUACCUGAAACAUCCCUGACUAUUAAUUGACUACAUCUGCCUAUUGAUUUGACAUGUUAUAGGUAGGUCUGUGGAUAAUACAAAUCCUCAACUCUGAAAGAGAAAAUGGAGUCACGAUGAUUGCAUGAGCCUCACCCUCCUUUUGCAGAAGGCUACAGUCACUGCCUCUGUUGCUGGGCAAACUUCUGUGCUGUUGUGCUGCCAGAUAUAUAGAUGCAGACGAUUCUCCAAGUUUCAGUCAGCUUUUUUACUUUUUUCCCUCCUUUUUUAAGUAAUCAAAGUCCGAGUUGUUGAUUUCUCCUCUAGCUAAGAAGCCCUGCAGUCUGUAUUUUGUCACAGGUGUAGAUAUACCACUGUCAUGCAACAGUUAUUCUACAAAGUGACAUUGAAGCCUAUAGAGUGUGCUGUUGUUCAGAUGGCGUUACUUUAUUUUUCUACUGAGAUGGCUAUGCAUCUCAGCCGAGUCCUGGCUGUGAGCUAAGUAUCAACAACGUACUUUAUUUUCUCUCAGAUAUUUCUCGCUAAGGCAAGCCCCCAAGGCUAUUGGUAGCAGUCUGUUUGAGUAGGAAUUAACUGAAAACAGUCUUAAGUUUUGAGUCUACAGGAAUGUAAACCCUAGUCUAACUGCUGAAAUGUCUGCAGGCUUGCUCUUGAACAUGGAUCCAAACCUCACAUGAGUACAAGGACCCCUGUACAUGAGCAGCAGAGUGCCCAGAAGGCACGGAAGGCUUCUGCAUGAUAUAUGUGACAUAGGCAAAGAAGAGUGGCAGGUUGCAAAGUACAGGGGAUCAGCUAUUUUAACCUGAAGAGCUAUCCUGACCUCCCACCUGUGAUGGAUGCUGAUGAGGGUAUCUGCUCUCACAUGUGGCCCUUCCCAGUAGCAACAACAGCAGAAGUCCUCGGAUUUUCUGGGCUAACCCAGCUCUUUCCCUCUCCCCUCUGAAGCCAGAAGACUGGCUUCAACUCUCCUUCUUCCCCUUCAGGCAGCAAAGAGACACUUGAGAAUGGGGUAAGAAAUGCUGCAAGCAGGGGGGAGCGGUUGUUUGGGGUAGGAAGGGAGAGAAGGGAUGGUGGUCUGUAACAAACGGUGAGUCAAAUGUUAAGGCAGAGGAAGAACUGUAGUCAGCUGUCAAUGCCACUUUUUUCUAUCCUUUAACCAAAGCCCUAUUUGAAAUCUGAAAUCUCCUCCUUUCCUGCCCUUACAUGUUUUCUCUCUCAUUCUACCACCACUGCAAAACUUAGGUUUACCUAUAGAACUGAGAAGUUUGGAGCUGGCUCUGCCUUGUGUCUGUGCCUAUAGGUUAAAGGCAGUCUGCAGGCCUGAAACAGGAGGAAGAGUGGAGUGCAAAACUUUGAUAGCUGCUGCUGGCCUGCAUUUGCAAGUUAAUGUUGCCCUUUUUCAAGGGUUGCAGUAGUACUGCUUAUUGUGCACUUGCCAGCAUCCGGGGCAUUUGGUUCAGACUGAGCUAAAUAACCCUUAUGCUUAUUAGUUACCCUAUGCAUGGUGUAACCUCUGGCUUAAAAGCAAGUGUGUGUCACUUGAAUGGAGAAGGGAGGAUGGGCUAAAUUCUUUCCUGACUGGUAGCUGUAAAUAAAUAUUAGAGCUGAUCAAACAAAAUCCAAUACUCUGAAGUAACAGCAAAACCAGCAAUUAGUUUAAAUUUGCUAUUGUAAACAUGGUAUCUUUUGGCUUUCAGCAAAACACUGUAGCUCUGAACUAUUUUCACCUUCCAAAAGAGUUAUGUAACCUCUCUUCUAGAACCCAGCAAGGGAAAAGAGGAUAAAAUGGAGGAAACCCCCAGAUCCAGCACCUCAUGCAUUUGCACAUCAGGACUGUGGUUUUGUUUUGGUUCCAUAUCCCACCAUGACAGCCACAGCACACAAGCUGCUGACUGACCUGGCCCAAAAAACCCUGUGAGAGGUUGUGGUGCUAUACAGGCACCGAACAGGAGUAAAACCCAAAAGGACCCUCUCGGUAGCUUCAAUUUUAUGCUAUGGUCCCUGUCCUACCAGGAGAACUGGGAACAGGGAGCAGGACAGCACUCACAGGCCAAAUGUUUUGGCCACCACCACUAGAAUAACAGGGAUGUCUUUUUCUCUAAAAAUGCUGCAUUAAGUCAGACUUUAAAAUGUCUGUCCAUACAUGACAAAAUCACUGGAUGCUCUCUGAUGCAUACAGGCAGUCUCCUUUGGAGCCCAUCUAUCUUUUAAGCUGUCAUGUGAGAUAUGAACUAAAAUUAACUUUUGUAGGUGCUGUUGAGACCAUUAACGUGAACUUGACACUUCUGUGCCAAAAAUUGCAUGUUUGGUUUUAUGCACUUUCAGGAGUGUCACAUGUUAGUAAGGCAGGGCCAGGACUGGGUUUUAAGUGCAGGCACUUUAAGUUGCUACUUGGUGCCAGGUAUGCUGGGCUGGCACUUUCCAGUUUGUUUUUUGGAUUUGUAACUUUCCCAAAAUUAUUCAGGAGAGAUUCAGAUUACCUGACAGUACUCUGCCUUUUCUUUUAAGGACCUCUAAACAGUUAUCCACCUGUGCCCACAGUGCAUAAAUGCAAACUGACUACCUGUCAAUGCUUUGUGAGUCACCUGAGACCUUGAAAUUAAAGGAGCUUAUUUUUUCCAUUCACACUCCCCAUUAACAAAGAAAACCCAGUGAGUGGAGAGCUGCCAGAACACUGAAUUCAUGAGUUCAUGAAAUAAAAUAUAUAUGCUGAAGCAUUUCUGAGAGGGAUUUAUUAUUCCUGAAGUACAAUAUAAUUACAGCAUUUGUUGAUUCUAGCUUUGUUAUUACAUUUUCUGUGAAUUAUUUGUUAAAAACUACUUGCAUAAAAUGUGUUUCUUGUACAAAGCAAAUAUGUAGAACUAGAUAGAGAAUAGCACUACUGACAUUAUUAAGAUAUAGCAAGAAAAAAUAAAAAAUGAGCUUGUUAAUAUCUUUGUUUUAUAUCUAUUACAUAUAUGACUAUGUAGGGUAAAGCACUGACAGGCUAGGGAGUGUCAAUAUUAUCCCUGUACACACUUAAUUCACCAUUUAAGUCCAUUUGCUUUGUUUUUUGACCAGAUUCCUGCUUCAUUUCAUGCUCUUUGCUCAUGACCUCCUUUCUCAUAUCUUGCACUCACUGCGUGGCUAGUUAUUUAAUAUUUGUUUUUAUCUUUAUCAUUCAUUGCAUGGCCUCAAUGCCUUAUUUACUGCACCACUCAGACUCUGUGGAAGGAAGAUUUACUAGUGCCCUCAGAGGCUUUUGUUUGCUUUUUUUUUAACUACAGAAUCUGAGCACUUAAUAUACAUUGAUGACUUUAUCUUUACAACACCUCUGUGAGGUAAAAUGGUAUUCUUCUUCCCAUUUUACAUACGAAGAUUUGAAGGACAAGAUAAUGGCAAAACCCUAAAAAGCACAGAGUAUUUUUGAUACCCAAUUUCUGAGGCAUUAGCUAACCACUUAUAUUAAUGUGUAUAUUCAGUGAAGAGUUCUGAUGAGCUCUGUUUCUUUUUUGAGUAGCCCUUCUGCAAAUCAAGCCCAGAUACCUCUUCUGCAAAGAAUGAAAUGCACUUUAAUGGGCACCUCUGGAAAGCAUUGGUUUUUACUAAUUGCCUAACAACACAUGUGUUUCUUUGCCAGGGCUAAAAUCCAGUUUUUCAGAGCAGUUUCUAUGCUUUGAAACCCUAAGACUGUCCUCUCUUUUCUGCAGCUCCUUGUUUCACUUUAAAUGCUAUCAACUUCUGCAAGAAAUGCAACAUUAAUCGUACAGGUGUCAUUACACCACUCUGACCACAAUCCGCAGCUCAUAUGAACAAAAUACAAGUAGGCAAUGAAAUACUAUCUUGUGAAAGCACAUACCAGAAAAAGACAGAAACUGAGGUGAUACUAGUCUUGUUUUUCUGUGAAAACAGCUCUCCAGUCCCACAACAGCAUCUUCCUAAGUUUUUGAGUCCAUUUUCCAGACCACAUAGAUAUUAGAAUUUCCCAAUUAAACAGUUUUAAAGUGUUUCUAAUAAGAUUAACAUAUAAGCUUUUACCCCCAAUGUCUUUCUAGUAAGUGGCAGAAGACUUUUUCCCAAUAUUUUUAAGCUUAUGGGAAGUUUCAAUCUAAAAUCUGACGAGGCCAUAAACCACUGAUAAUGGCCUCCCAUAAUGGAGAGAACACCAGAAACCUGCUGAUUUUGAAAGUUUAAGUAAACCAAUAACUUCCAGUUAGGAAAAGCUAUCCUUGGCAUAGGUAAUUUCCUAUAUUUUUAGGAUUAUGAUCCUUGCAUCUACCUUGGAAAUAGCCUUCCAAGAUAUGAUAGAUGAUUUGAAGACCAGCUGAUUUAAUCCAAAAGUCCAAUCUCUUUAUUUCUAUGAGUUAGUCUGCAGGAAUUUUGAUCUUUUUAAGUAUAUUUUUCUGUGGGAAAGCUUUGCAAUUAUAUUUAAGUGAACAUGAAGUUAAACCUUGCUCAUGAUUUUAUGUUGAUUUUUUAAAAAGCUACAACUGGGCUUUUCCUUUAUUAAAUAUGAUUAUUAGCUGACUUUUGGGUUAAAAGUGAGAAAAAAAUCCCCAUUAUUUGUUUAGCUCAUUUCAUUGAGUUGGAAAAUACCAAUUAGCAUGCUUUGAAAAGAUAACUGUGAAGUCGAUAUUACAGUAAUGGUAGUUGGUGCAAAGUAAUUAACAAUUCUAAUUUUCCAUUUAAAUAAUGGGAGUAGCUGCUUAUUGGAAAAAAAGACAUUCAGAUGUAGAUCAAAAAACAUCAUUAUGAAACCUUGGUAAAAUCUAGUGAGCUGCCAGGCUUUCUCUUUUUGGAUGGCUAAGUGUGUGUAAGCUGGGCAUCAACAGAGGUAAUGGCAGCUGUUUUGUUCUCUAAAAAAAAAUAGAAAGCUGACUUACCAAUCAGUUUUUCCUAUCAAGUUAUGAUCUUAUAAGGGUCUGUGUUGUUUCAUUACUGUUGGCCUUAAAAUACUCAAGGCAUGGGGUCCAUAUACAGCCAGUCAUUUACCCAGCUGGCCUAGGGUGCAGUUUAUUUUGUUUCAUGGACACUUUGCACAGGCCUAUUGUAUAUUAUUUGUCUACUUGAUUCAACAAAUGAAGGAUUUUUACAGUUGUUUCAUCAUCAUGCUGGGAAGGAAUAUGUUUGGUCUGUUUUUAACAGCUUUGUGUCAGAGAAGGAGGUAUCUUCUUUUCAAGGCUUUUCAAAGUAGAGAGACCUUAAAAAUGUACUCAGUUUAUAUCAGCUCAAAGUGCUCAUGCAACCAGAAAUGAGACAGGAAAGAACAUGAAGGUCAAACUUGCAUAAACACACUGUUGCCCAUGUUAACUGCUAGGAGAAAGAACAACAUACAUUUGAACUAAAUUGCAUUAUGCAGAGAAGACAGAAGAUGCUAUUCUGGCAAAGUCACAUUUCUUUCAUGCAAGCUCCCAUGUGAUAAAACGGAGAAGUACUAUUUCCUUUCAGUAAAUAAAGAAGCAUAAACUAAAAUGAAUUAUUAUGACUCCGCCAUGAUUUUUUCUUAACAACAAAGGAAGAAGGAGCUUUAUAGUUCUGUUCUUGUUUUACUUUAACGUUUAGAGACAUCAAACUUUUUUUUUUGCUUCUAUCAGCAAAUAAUUAAAUUUCCUAGCAGUAUCAUUCUAAUAAAGCACAACUUCUUUUCAAGAAUUCCACUCUCUGCUACAGAGAGAAAUCCACCAGAAGCUGACCUCCUCAUCUUGAAUAUCGUAUGUAGUGGGUAUCUAAAUCUGACAUCAAAUGACUUCAGAAAGAAUAUUCAAAGUCAAACCAUCUUUUCUGAAAAAGCUAUUCAGAACCUUUGGGGGGACAGACAUUUUUAAUGGGGCAAAUAUAUAAUUGUAAAGACACACCCUCCCUCAAGAGAAUGAAAUUCUUUUAAGGAAAUUUAGCAUUUAUUAUGCAUGGAAGAUCUCUUCUUCUUUUACAAGACCUAGGCACUUUGGACAACUUUCUGGUUACAGAUCCAGCGUUCAUUUUGCUGCUUCCUAGAUCAGCGCUCCCUCAUUCUGCUUAUGCCAUUCAUUCAAAUGUGUUUCUACCUUCAAGAAAAUGCUCCUUUGUUUAUUCAGAUUAAGGUAAGGACUGCUGUACCUGUAGGAUAAUUGCCUGGGUUUCCCUGUCGCCCAAGGAAGCAGCACCCUGCAGCCCCAUCUCAGGCCUCCCCGGCAGCGUGCAAUCUCUGCUCUGCUCCUCAGACACCUCCCUUUCUCCACUGACAGUACUCAAGGACUGGGGGAGAAGUUAUGCUGUCUGGCACUAUGUCUUUGAAAGUGUUUGUAUUUGUAACGCAAAGACGACAUGAUUUUAGAGCCUGGUCUCUUUGACAUUGAAGAAGAAGAUUGGAAUUGCUUAGGUCUGCAUUUUAUUAAAAAAGUGUUUUACCCCAUAAAAGAAUUGUUUUCCCUACGUUAUUUGCCUUGCUUUUCUCUUGUGUGUAUAUUUCCAUUUGUGACUUAGUGCAUUUUGGUAGUUCUAUGAACUGUGAAUCUUUUUUUCAAUUAGUCCCUCUGGGACUCUUCUAUUAAAGUCUUUUUGGCAUUUUCAAUAUGUAGAUUCUGUCAUUAGAUUAAAGUGUAGGUACAGGUGUAUAAUAUGAAAUUGUGAUAAAGCAGUGUAAUGUAUAAUUAAUAAUAAAAUUAUUUU